rnacentral:rRNA from 1 species
UACGUAGGGGGCAAGCGUUGUCCGGAUUUAUUGGGCGUAAAGAGCUCGUAGGUGGUUCGGUAAGUCGGAUGUGAAAUCUCCAGGCUCAACCUGGAGGGGUCAUUCGAUACUGCCGUGACUAGAGGUCGGUAGGGGAGUGUGGAAUUCCUGGUGGAGCGGUGAAAUGCGCAGAUAUCGGGAGGAACACCUGUGGCGAAAGCGGCGCACUGGACCAUAACUGACGCUGAUGCGCGAAAGCUAGGGGAGCAAACAGG